GACAGAGGGUGCAAACGUUGCUCGGAAUCACUGGGCGUAAAGGGCGUGUAGGCGGGAAUGUAAGUCGGGCGUGAAAUCCCUAGGCUCAACCUAGGAACUGCACUCGAAACUGCGUUUCUUGAGUACCGGAGAGGAAAGCGGAAUACCUGGUGUAGAGGUGAAAUUCGUAGAUAUCAGGUGGAACACCAGUGGCGAAGGCGGCUUUCUGGACGGUAACUGACGCUGAGACGCGAAAGCGUGGGGAGCAAACAGG
rnacentral:misc_RNA from 1 species